rnacentral:rRNA from 1 species
CCUACGGGUGGCAGCAGUGAGGAAUAUUGGUCAAUGGACGAGAGUCUGAACCAGCCAAGCCGCGUGAAGGAAGACUGCCCUAUGGGUUGUAAACUUCUUUUAUAUGGGAAUAAAAUGUUACACGUGUGGGAUUUUGUAUGUCCCAUAUGAAUAAGGAUCGGCUAACUCCGUGCCAGCAGCCGCGGUAAUACGGAGGAUCCGAGCGUUAUCCGGAUUUAUUGGGUUUAAAGGGAGCGUAGGUGGAUUGUUAAGUCAGUUGUGAAAGUUUGCGGCUCAACCCUAAAAUUGCAGUUGAAACUGGCAGUCUUGAGUACAGUAGAGGUGGGCGGAAUUCGUGGUGUAGCGGUGAAAUGCUUAGAUAUCACGAAGAACUCCGAUUGCGAAGGCAGUUCACUGGACUGCAACUGACACUGAGGCUCGAAAGUGUGGGUAUCAAACAGGAUUAGAUACCCCAGUAGUC